AUUGAACGCUGGCGGCAGGCUUAACACAUGCAAGUCGAGCGGGGUGAUGGUGCUUGCACUAUCACUUAGCGGCGGACGGGUGAGUAAUGCUUAGGAAUCUGCCUAUUAGUGGGGGACAACGUCUCGAAAGGGAUGCUAAUACCGCAUACGUCCUACGGGAGAAAGCAGGGGAUCACUUGUGACCUUGCGCUAAUAGAUGAGCCUAAGUCGGAUUAGCUAGUUGGUGGGGUAAAGGCCUACCAAGGCGACGAUCUGUAGCGGGUCUGAGAGGAUGAGCCGCCACACUGGGACUGAGACACGGCCCAGACCCCUACGGGAGACAGCAGUGGGGAAUAUUGGACAAUGGGGGGAACCCUGAUCCAGCCAUGCUGCGUGUGUGAAGAAGGCCUUAUGGUUGUAAAGCACUUUAAGCGAGGAGGAGGCUCUUUUGGUUAAUACCCAAGAUGAGUGGACGUUACUCGCAGAAUAAGCACCGGCUAACUCUGUGCCAGCCGCCGCAGUAA
rnacentral:rRNA from 1 species